GGGAGGAGAUUAAUUUGCGCAGGUGAAUAGAAUAAGAUUAGAGGAGAGAGAGAGAGAGGAAAGAAUGUGAGGAUGAGAGAAAGAGAGAGAAAGGAAGGAAGAAAAUACCUUGUCUGCUUUGUUUCUCGUGUUAUGCUCUCUGUUGGUGGUGUAAAGUGGAGCUACUUUAGGGUUUUCUUUUGUUUUAUGCUGUUAAAAAAAAAUAUAAAAAGGAGAAAGUUUCCAUUAGUUUGAAGAGGCAUCGCCUUUUGCCUCCCAGGUCUAGGGUGCUUGCUUGUUCUCAGUUGCCUCGCCUCAACCAGGCAGAGCUCACUUUGUCUUGCCUGCCUUUUACAACACUGGUAAAAUUUUAUCAAAUAAAUUAUAUGUUGUGUUGGCAAUUUUGGAGUUAUGGCCUGUGCCCCUCUAAAUUUGGCUAUCACUGACCAAAUUGAAGGGUUGCAUAUAUAAUUGACAAAAGGCAAAAUGUUCAAUGUAGCUCCUUUACUUAUUGGGAAAGUUAAUUUAACUCAAAAAUUAAAAUUUAUGGGCUAUUUUUUUUAUAUCUUUAUUUAAAUAAAAAAUUAAGAAAUUUAAUUUCAUAAUUUUGGAAUUAAAUUUCUUGAUUUAAGCUAAAAAAUAAAAAGUUCAAUUUUCUUGAUUUUUUUUUUUUUAGGCUAGAUUGAGUUUAAAUUGAAACUUCUUGGUUAAAUUAGACAAAAUGUUGAAAAUAUGCUAAAUUGAACUUUCUCAACAAGUACAAGGAUGUAAUUGAGUUUUAAGCCAUUGACAAAAUUUAAAGGAUUAGUCAUAAUUGCAAAUUUGAGUGAAGGUUUAUUUUUUAUUUUUUGUUUUUUUAGCAUUAAAGGAUUAGUCAUAACUGCAAUUUUUGUUUUUUUGGAGUGCAGCAAAUGGGCACUUAUAUGAAACAUCUUCUAAGUGUUUGAGCAUUUUACAGUUACUUAAAAAUGGGGUUCCUCUUUCAGCCUCUCAACCCAGCAGUAGAAAAGUAAUGGAUUGAAUUUUUAAUCAAGUUAGCUUGUAAUAUUUUGAUUUGGAUAAUUGCACCUACCAAAUAUUGCAUGGCUAUGUUUAUUGAGAAUCUGAGGAUUAGCGUUGGUGCAACAGUAUGGUUGCUAUUUUUUGGAAACAACCAUUAUGUAGGGAGAAGGCUACAUAAAGUAGAUGCUCCUUUCUUGAUCCUCACAAAGUGGGAAGCCUCGUGCACUGAGGAUGCCCUUUAUGUUUAGCAAGAACAUAUAUCUCAUAACUAUACCUUUUCUCAUUUGUUUGUUAUGGUUUGAAUGCAUGUUAGUUGGAUGCUUAAUAAGUGUGUUUGUAUUCACGGAACUCUAUAUCCAUCUAGAAUGGCCCUCUAGUUCAAAUUACUUCUAGUAAUGGUCAUGCACCAAAGUAGACAAAGAGUGUCAGCUGUUUUAACUUUUGCCUGUGGUUGACGAAGUCCUCAUGGAAUUUUGUUGUAUAAUUUGUAUUGGCUCUUCUGAAUUUGAUUUUUGUGAUUUCCCCAAAUGACUUCUAUCUCCAUAUAUGAUCCUUGGCAUCACCAAGCAGUGCGCUUUGGUGAAUUCCUUAUGAACUUGGGCACUGCUCCUGUACCAAAAGAAACACAUUAGAUUCUGCUGAUGUUGAACUUUAAUAAACCUCUCGUGGAUAAAAUAUAUCUUAUUGUUAAUUUAACUUUUAGCUUUUGUAAGUUGUCAAAGUCGUGGCAAUAGUUUCCGUUCUCAAUGAUCAUCUAGAAAGUUAUCCUUUUAUAUAUGUAAUAUUUUACUUGACUUUUUCAUGGAAUUAUUGGGGGUUCUAUUUUUAGUCAUUAUAGUCCUAGCUUGUUGCUUCUAUCUUAUACUUGGUAUUCAGUGAUGGGAAUGUGUCCUUAAAUGUUUUUGGUAUAAUAGAUUGGUAAUUGCAUUAAUUUGUUUCCCUGACAGGCAUUUGCACAUCUAUUGCAA
rnacentral:misc_RNA from 1 species